AGCUGUCCCCUUCAGAUGGGACUCACGUUUUCCGGUCUACCUGGUCCCCUCCAACCUCGGUGGCUUCUCCCUUGGCCUGUGGUACAUGCUCUUGUCCUCCCGCUUUGUGCUCUAAUGUUCUGAGGGUCUCAGUGGAGCUUUGGGAAACGCCCAGAAGGCAGUGUAAAAGAAUCCUUCAGCUGUCCACCCACUUCCCAACAGAGGCCGGCCGGGUGGGGAGACCUGGGUGGAGGGCCUGCUCCUCCAAAUAAGAGAGGAAAAACUCGUGACUCAGGGAAAGGCAGAAGUUGAGUCAGCCAAGCCACAAGCUAUGGAAAAAAUGAAGUUUCCCUGAGGCUUUUUUCUGCUCCCUGG
rnacentral:lncRNA from 1 species